rnacentral:misc_RNA from 1 species
GAUGAAGAACGCAGCGAAAUGCGAUACGUAGUGUGAAUUGCAGAAUUCAGUGAAUCAUCGAAUCUUUGAACGCACAUUGCACCUCUCGGUAUUCCGGGAGGUAUGCCUGUUCGAGCGUCAUUUGUACCCUCAAGCUCUGCUUGGUGUUGGGUGUUUGUUCCGCCUCUGUGUGUGAACUCGCCUCAAAACAAUUGGCAGCCGGCGUACUUGUUUCGGAGCGCAGCACAUUUUGCGAUCCAGAUCAACGUACAGCGGCAUCCAAGAAGCCUUAUUUAACGCUCUUGACCUCGGAUCAGGUAGGGAUACCCGCUGAACUUAAGCAUAUCAAUCAGCGGAGGA